rnacentral:rRNA from 1 species
UUUCCCCCGCCGGGCCCCGGGCCCGUCCCGCCGCCCCCGCCCGCCUACGGGAGGCAGCAGUGGGGAAUUUUGGACAAUGGGCGCAAGCCUGAUCCAGCAAUGCCGCGUGAGUGAAGAAGGCCUUCGGGUUGUAAAGCUCUUUCAGUUGAGAAGAAAAAGUCGUGACUAAUAAUCAUGAUUCACAUGACA